UACGUAGGGGGCUAGCGUUGUCCGGAAUCAUUGGGCGUAAAGAGCGUGUAGGCGGCCCGGUAAGUCCGCUGUAAAAGUCAAAGGCUCAACCUUUGAAUGUCAGUGGAUACUGCCGGGCUAGAGUCCGGAAGAGGCGAGUGGAACUCCUGGUGUAGCGGUGGAAUGCGCAGAUAUCAGGAAGAACACCAACGGCGAAGGCAGCUCGCUGGGACGGUACUGACGCUGAGGCGCGACAGCGUGGGGAGCAAACAGG
rnacentral:rRNA from 1 species